AUCUAAAUGUAGUAACCCAGAAAUCUCUAGACACCAUACAAUUAAUCAAGCAAAAAUAAAUAUCAACAUCCAACUUGCUCUCAACUUGCAUCACAUUUUUAUAAAUUAAAAAAAGAAAGUCAAAUUCAAUAUCCAGCUUAUGGUUUUUCCUAAAAAUGGACAAAAAUCUUAUCUUUGAUGAAGAAUAUCCACAAAAAUUCAAGAAUAAUCGAAAAU
rnacentral:lncRNA from 1 species